rnacentral:ncRNA from 1 species
ACACAACUCUGGAGAGUCCCUUGAAUGGGCGCCGAAGGUGCAAAGAUGUUUUGGGAAACAUCCUUAUCUCUCAGGCCAGUGGACAGAGGAAA